UGGAGAGGGAAGAUUAACCUUUCACUGGCCACAAUUCCUUCCCUCUUAUCGCGGAGGAUUCGGCAACGCGCCCCCCUCCCACCCAGCCUAUCUGUCUGAAUUGCUGAAAGCAUAAUGCUCCCAUAUGAGAGAUAAUAUCGUUUCUCUUCAAAAAUUAGAAGUCCGAUGCCACUGAAGUCACAAAUGUGGAGACAGCAGGAAUGGCAGCCAGUGUGGGACUUUUCCUCUACAAUACAGCAUGGUCACCUUCCAGUUGGGCUGGUUUGCAGGAAUUCAGGGAAGACAACCAUAACCUGUGCCUAACAGUGGGAGAAGUGAGAGAAACUAAGCUACAUCCUGCAAGACUGGAGAUGGAGAGAAGGAAGUUUGAGCCUUCUCAGUGAACUUAAACUUUCCUGCCAUGGGGGAACUGGUGGAAAAAGUCUAGAAAAGAUCCCUCCAGGUGUGAAGUCUGUGAUGUCAGUCAGCUUCAGAGACACAGCACCAGCUUAGCUGAGGAUCUGCAUGCAAGUCUCAGGGACCUUGAUAAUGAGACAUCGCAGCCUGUUCUUGUCUGGUUGGUGAGACCGUCCAGUCCCUCAUCAUGUUAUUUGUGGUGGCUUUAGAGACUUUCAGACCAAUCUGAAGGACAGACCCCAAGCUUUUGGAUGCUGCUCAGCCAGGACAAACCCCAAAACACGGGCUAUCCCAAGAAGAUGGGGGCUGGGAGCUGAUUUUUGGAAAACGACUUUGGCCUUUGACUAAAUCAGCUGGAGUGAAAAUAAAAAGACACUUCCUCCCAUAGCAUCACCAAAUCAGGCUUCCCUCAUCACAACAGAGUCGAGACAGUCCCAGCUCACCCCUCACUCCUCUCCUGUCUGAAGCUCCAGCUGGAAGAGCAGCCCUUCCCUGCUUGGGAUCUUGGCAGGGUCAGAGGUUCACAUGAAGCUUCAGACCUGGAGGCUGGCAGGGAUCUCGGUUUUGGAACCAAACCAAAAAAAAUGAGUGCAUGAUAAAGGAAGCACAUGAGACAGACUCAGUAUCCGGUGUCGCACCCGGGAUACAUCACACUCCUCAAGAACAUCUGCAGGCCAUGAGGAGGGUUCAAGAGGAUGUGGAGGAGCCCCUCAAACAACACCACCCUGCCCAGUGGGACCUCUCUGCGUGAUCACCUCGGAGAGAGGCACCAGCCAUGAUCACAUUCAUCGGCCAGGAGCAGCUGUGUAGCAGCCCUGCUGGUUGGAUGGGCAGCUGCCGGGACUGACAGAAGCUUCCCAGUGUGACACGCCAAGGCUGCCCCCUCCUUCGGCCAACGUCCCCAUCCAGCAGCGUUUUCUGUUAAAAUGCAGAGCUGAAUUCCUGUCUAGGAAGAAGUGGCAAAGAACAGCCACUCUUCACCUGAAGGUAACUAAAUCACCUGGUCUGGCAGAGGUUGGGCUUUCUGCUUGGUUUUUGCAGGAGCUGCUGUGGACGCAUCUUCCCAUGCCCAGUGCAGUGGGUGGCAUUCCUGGGACAGAACAAACCUGGCAGAGCCAUAGUUCCUGUGGCACCUGAGCAGUCAGAGCAUCCCCAAACUGGGAUUCAGAGCAGCCCCACUGACUUCGGUGUGGGGCAGUUGUGUUUGUGCCUCAGGGGCAUGAUGUUGGAACACAAGUGCUGAACUUUAAAAAUUUGCUUUAAAAAGUUAUAAUUUGCUCUGAUCUUUUAUUUUUUUUUUCUGAAGCACUUGUAAAGUUUGAAGAUGAUGCUAAUGAUGUACAGCACACGUGCUCUGAAAUGCAUCUCCCCUAGGUUAAUGUACCCUUUAGCUCACUGGGAAGCUCACUGGGCACGUUUUGGAGACUUUCAGCACCUCCAACGCAUUUCUGGAAAGAAAGCAAAUGAUCCAAGGUCUGGACACUGGGCUCUUAAAUUACCAAAAUAUUUAUCACUUAUGCUGAAAAACACUUUGCCAAAAAAACUGGGCUAUGGAGAGGGCAUUUGGCACUGGAUUAAUUUCUGAUGAAGUUUUAGGAGCAGGCUGUAGGUUUGUGUUCAGUGAUGCUUCAAUGUAAUGCCCUGGCCAGUCCCAUCCUGGCCCACAACUGCUCGGAUCAGGCUAUGCCAGAUUCCUGUCACCUUGGGCUUCAUUAGCAUGUGAAAACAGAGCCCUCUUGGCUUUGUGUCUCACUGAAAAACAAACCACCCAGCCCUCCCUUUGGCCAGGGGAGUGGAGCUGCCUCAUGCACUCGACUUUAAAAGGACUUGGACAGCAAUUCUUGACGGUCUUUUUUUUUUUUUUUUUACUACAGCUCUUAAAAAGUUACCAGAGUGAAGGUUCCUGUUUACAGUGGUGGGAGAAUAGCUCAGGUAACUGCUCAUAAAGGGUUGGCUGACGAAGGACACUGCAGAGAUGGGCCGAGGAAGAUUUGCAGGUGACAACUGGAA